rnacentral:rRNA from 1 species
GAUGAACGCUGGCGGCGUGCCUAAUACAUGCAAGUCGAGCGAACAGACGAGGAGCUUGCUCCUCUGACGUUAGCGGCGGACGGGUGAGUAACACGUGGAUAACCUACCUAUAAGACUGGGAUAACUUCGGGAAACCGGAGCUAAUACCGGAUAAUAUAUUGAACCGCAUGGUUCAAUAGUGAAAGACGGUUUUGCGGUCACUUAUAGAUGGAUCCGCGCCGCAUUAGCUAGUGGGUAAGGUAACGGCUUACCAAGGCAACGAUGCGUAGCCGACCUGAGAGGGUGAUCGGCCACACUGGAACUGAGACACGGUCCAGACUCCUACGGGAGGCAGCAGUAGGGAAUCUUCCGCAAUGGGCGAAAGCCUGACGGAGCAACGCCGCGUGAGUGAUGAAGGUCUUCGGAUCGUAAAACUCUGUUAUUAGGGAAGAACAAAUGUGUAAGUAACUAUGCACGUCUUGACGGUACCUAAUCAGAAAGCCACGGCUAACUACGUG